AUUGAACGCUGGCGGCAGGCUUAACACAUGCAAGUCGAGCGAGCGGCGGACGGGUGAGUAAUGCUUAGGAAUCUGCCUGUUCGUGGGGGCUAACGUCAAGAAAGGGGCGCUAAUACCGCAUCCUAUCAGAUGAACCUAUUUGGGAUUAGCUUGUGGGUGGGGGAACGGCUCACCAAGGCGACGAUCCCUAGCUGUUCUGAGAGGAUGAUCAGCCCCACUGGGACUGAGACACGGCCCAGACUCCUACGGGAGGCAGCAGUGGGGAAUUUUGCACAAUGGGCGCAACCCUGAUACAGCCAUGCCGCGUGUAUGAAGAAGGCCUUCGGGUUGUAAAGUACUUUCGGUCGGGAAGCGUUACCGGAAGAAGAAGCACCGGCUAACUCCGUGCCAGCAGCCGCGGUAAUAG
rnacentral:rRNA from 1 species